rnacentral:rRNA from 1 species
GACGAACGCUGGCGGCGCGCUUAACACAUGCAAGUCGUGCGGUGUCGAAGGCAAGUCUUACGACAAGCCUUCGACACAGCGGCGAACGGGUGAGUAACACGUGAGUAGCUGUCCUAAGGAGGGGGAUAACGCCUGGAAACGGGUGCUAACACCCCAUAUGCCUCGCAAGAGGUGAAAGUGUACUUGCUACAGCCUUAGGGUGUGCUCGCGGCCUAUCAGCUAGUUGGUGAGGUAACGGCUCACCAAGGCUAAGACGGGUAGCCGGCCUGAGAGGGUGUACGGCCACACUGGAAUUGAGACACGGCCCAGACUCCUACGGGAGGCAGCAGUGGGGAAUAUUGCACAAUGGGCGAAAGCCUGAUGCAGCGACGCCGCGUGAGGGAUGACGGCCUCGGUUGUAACGUCUUCUAGCAGGAGAAGACGAAAGUAGACGGUACCGUAGCAGAGAAGAACCGGCUAACUACGUAGCCAGCAGCCGCGGUAACUGCUACGU